rnacentral:tRNA from 1 species
GCGGAUAUGGUCGAAUGGUAAAAUUUCUCUUUGCCAAGGA